CUCUAAAUUGUCCCUCAGUGUGACUAUGAGCAUGAAUGGUUGUUCGUCUAUGUGUGCCCUGCCACCAGAGUUUUAGUGCCCCUUGGAUUCCAUGGCACCCUUUAGCAUCUCCCUACAUGGCCUAAUGUGCGAGCCAGUCUUGCAGACUGGAAGUUCAACAUUGAGAUAAAUCGCGGCCUAAAUGGGUCGGUUACGAAACAUUCCGAAAGAGGUCAUGUCAACAAGGACCACGAUCAAGAUGCUACUGCGGCGCCUCGGAGAAUUUAUAAACAUAUUCCUGUACGCCUUGCUAAAAUUAGCUCACGCCGGUGUCAUUUGGAGCAGAAAUAGCCCCCUGGCUGCAAACUAUACAUUUACAGUAAGUAUACAGUACUGAACCAAACAAAGAGAAGCAUCUGGCUUACAGCUGUUUCUCUUCCUUGACAAGGCCUUCAGAAUUUACAUGCCGCAACAACGCCGUGCAUCAAAGAAUGGCAGGAACAAGUACAUUAUAACAAGCAUUUUUAAUUAAGUAUCAUUAUACAAUUAAUAUGAUAAACAUAAGAGCAUUUCUUCUUUAAAUAUAUACAUCAAGUAAACAGAAAAAAGACAGACCUCUAUCAGACAGGGUCCAACAUCACGGUGAAUUAGUGAAUU